rnacentral:rRNA from 1 species
UACGUAAGAUUACCCGCUGAAUUUAAGCAUAUAAAUAAGCGGAGGAAAAGAAACUAACAAGGAUUCCUCUAGUAAGGGCGACUGAAGCAGGAAUAGCUCACCAUGUGAAUCUGCGUAACCAGUUUAACUGGCGCGCCGAAUUGUGGUCUGUAGAGGUAGCAUCGACCAAUGCGCCGGGCUAAGUCCCUUGGAAAAGGGCAGCUGAGAGGGUGAUACUCCCGUUCUUGCCUGGUGUCUGUGUGUCAUAGUAUGCGCCUUCAACGAGUCGAGUUGCUUGGGAUUGCAGCUCAAAUUGUGUGGUAAAUUCCAUAUAAAGCUAAAUAUUGGUGGGAGACCGAUAGCGCACAAGUACCGUGAGGGAAAGAUGCAAAGAACUUUGAAAAGAGAGUUAAAAAGUACCUGAAAUUGAUGAAAGGUAAGCGAAGGAAACCAGUGCUUAGUUUAGUCAUAUUUUUCUUGUUACUUGUAGCAAGGACGCUGUGGCUGGACGUUGGUCAAGAUCAAUUUCUUCUGGGGUAACAGUGUUGGCAGGAGGUAGCCCCUCGGGGUGUUUAACUGUCUUCACCUAUCCUGGAUGAGAUUGAGGUAAGUCAUGUAAGUGCUCGUGAUCUUGACAAAAUGGUUUUCUUUACCCCGUCUUGAAACACGGACCAAGGAGUCUAA